rnacentral:siRNA from 1 species
GAACUUGGUGCAGGGCGUUUUACA